rnacentral:lncRNA from 1 species
AAUGUCAAUGGGGUGAAACCUUUUCCCAUGGCACCUUCACUCUCUCUCUCUCUCUCCCUUCCCCCUUCCAACACCUAGCCCAAAGGCCAUCGGUACAUGAGAUGCUUGAUGGUGGUCAGGUUAGAAGCAUCAUGCUGGUGAUGCAUAUAUGUAUUGCAGGGCCCUGUUUGGUUGCUGGUUGUCUUUGGAACAAGAGGUGCUCCUUUAAUCCAUCCGAAGCUAUUCUACCAAAAACAUGAACUUUUGCAAGCACCUUUCCCCGCGGGCAAAAAGGAUACUGUCGGACGUCACAUUACUCAUCUCUAACACAAUAAACUUGGAUAAAGCUGCUUCACAAAGUCAGAACUGAGUCACUCUAAACUUUUCUAGGUCAAAUUUGGUUUAUUUUAUCCUUGAAAAACAGAAG